GGUCCCACCAGGUCCCGGAUGUUGGACAGGUCCCAGAUGUUAGACAGGUCCCACCAGGUCCCGGAUGUUGGACAGGUCCCGGAUGUUGGACAGGUCCCAGAUGUUGGACAGGUCCCACCAGGUCCCAGAUGUUGGACAGGUCCCGGAUGUUGGACAGGUCCCACCAGGUCCCGGAUGUUAGACAGGUCCCACCAGGUCCCAGAUGUUGGACAGGUCCCACCAGGUCCCGGAUGUUGGACAGGUCCCACCAGGUCCCGGAUGUUGGACAGGUCCCAGAAGUUAGACAGGUCCCACCAGGUCCCGGAUGUUAGACAGGUCCCACCAUGUCGCAGAUGUUAGACAGGUCCCGGAUGUUGGACAGGUCCCACCAGGUCCCAGAAGUUAGAC